rnacentral:lncRNA from 1 species
AUAUAUGAAAUUAUAUACAUUCUUGAUCAUUAUAGCCUCGUAUUUCUUCUCCAAUAUUUGGAUUUUGUUUGGAAAAUUUGAUCGUUUUAUCUUGCAAUGGGAAGAGGUGCUUUGUUAUGGGUUCAAUCUUGCGGCGCUCAAUCUCACUGACUAAAAGAGACAUGGCAUGCAUGUAUCGUUGCUAUUAAGGAUAAAAUGAUCGAGUCUCUUCCUACAUGAAUAGAUCUUGUCUACAUCAUGUCAUCCUUCUUAAAACAUUACUCUGUUUC